AAAUCUUCCCGUUAGCAACCUUCUUCUGUCAGUAGCUUCUCCUCUCGCGUUAAUAGCACAACCAUCAGUUGUUGAUAGCAGGUCAAGUACCAUCACUCUGUUAAUAGCAGGUCAAGCAGUGUGACGGAAACGCACGAAAUAAAAAGUCCCCAACAUGGCCGCGUGCACCCGUGUCAAGUCUCCUCCCGUCGAGAUCACGAGACUCCGCGUGAGACCGAUCCGCGCUCAUGGCCGGUGCUGACAAAUCGCGGUAGCUUGACGUGAUCAAAAGCACCAGGUACGGUUACUGAUGCAUGCGAUACGAUUUGCCAGAUCGCUCACGGCCGUGCACUAGUUUUCUACCCUCUCGUGCCUCUCGUCAUGUUGUCCUUCCGCGCGUCGAGGCCUUUCGUUUCUCACCGCCAGGGCCGCUGACGCGGUGCGUGUGCUUGUGUUUUCUUCUCUGCCUGCAGGUCGUUACCAACUUGGAAACCGCCAGCGAUCAUUGACAACGACUCCGAGGGUCGAACGCGUGAGCUCGUAAUAACAGGCAGGACGCUGAAUGCUCACCCUCAUCAGCCU
rnacentral:lncRNA from 1 species